rnacentral:rRNA from 1 species
UACGGGGGAUGCAAGCGUUAUCCGGAUUUACUGGGUGUAAAGGGAGCGUAGGUGGCAAGGCAAGUCAGAUGUGAAAACCCGGGGCCCAACCCCGGGAGUGCAUUUGAAGCUGUCUGGCUAGAGUGCAGGAGAGGUAAGCGGAAUUCCUAGUGUAGCGGUGAAAUGCGUAGAUAUUAGGAGGAACACCAGUGGCGAAGGCGGCCUGCUGGACUGUAACUGACGUUGAGGCACGAAAGCGUGGGGAGCAAACAGG